GAUGAACGCUAGCGGUGCGCCUAACACAUGCAAGUCGAGCGAGUCCGCAAGGACGAGCGGCGAACGGGUGCGUAACACGUUGGAACCUUCCCCGAACUCAGGGAUAACCCCGCGAAAGCGGGGCUAAUACCGGAUAGUCCCCUGUACCAUAACGGUGCAGGGGUAAAGAUUUUUCGGUUCGGGAGGGGCCUGCGGAGUAUCAGCUUGUUGGCAGGGUAACGGCCUACCAAGGCUACGACGCUUCGCUGAUCUGAGAGGAUGAUCAGCCACAAUGGAACUGAGACACGGUCCAUACUCCUACGGGAGGCAG
rnacentral:rRNA from 1 species